CAGGGUGACAGGUGGUGCAUGGUUGUCGUCAGCUCGUGUCGUGAGAUGUUGGGUUAAGUCCCGCAACGAGCGCAACCCUCGACCUUAGUUGCCAGCAUUCAGUUGGGCACUCUAAGGUGACUGCCGGCUAAAAGUCGGAGGAAGGUGGGGAUGACGUCAAAUCAUCAUGCCCCUUAUGACCUGGGCUACACACGUGCUACAAUGGGCGGUACAAAGGGUCGCGAACCCGCGAGGGGGAGCCAAUCCCAAAAAGCCGCUCUCAGUUCGGAUUGCAGGCUGCAACUCGCCUGCAUGAAGCCGGAAUCGCUAGUAAUCGCGGAUCAGCAUGCCGCGGUGAAUACGUUCCCGGGCCUU
rnacentral:rRNA from 1 species